UCUGACCAGCCAUGCCGCGUGGAGGAUGAAGGUCCUCUGGAUUGUAAACUUCUUUUAUCUGGGAAGAAACCACUUUUUUCUAAGGGUGUUGACGGUACCAGAGGAAUAAGCACCGGCUAACUCCGUGCCAGCAGCCGCGGUAAUACGGAGGGUGCAAGCGUUAUCCGGAUUCACUGGGUUUAAAGGGUGCGUAGGCGGAUUUGUAAGUCCGCGGUGAAAUCUCCAAGCUUAACUUGGAAACUGCCGUGGAUACUAUAAGUCUUGAAUGUUGUGGAGGUUAGCGGAAUAUGUCAUGUAGCGGUGAAAUGCAUAGAUAUGACAUAGAACACCAAUUGCGAAGGCAGCUGGCUACACAAAUAUUGACGCUGAGGCACGAAAGCGUGGGGAUCAAACAGGAUUAGAUACCCUGGUAGUCCACGCCCUAAACGAUGAUUACUCGACAUUUGCGAUACACAGCAAGUGUCUGAGCGAAAGCAUUAAGUAAUCCACCUGGGAAGUACGACCGCAAGGUUGAAACUC
rnacentral:rRNA from 1 species